rnacentral:rRNA from 1 species
UACGUAGGUGGCAAGCGUUGUCCGGAUUUACUGGGCGUAAAGAGCGCGCAGGCGGUCGGACAAGUCGCGUGUGAAAGCCCCCGGCUCAACUGGGGAGGGUCACGCGAUACUGGUCGACUCGAAGGCAGGAGAGGGUAGUGGAAUUCCCGGUGUAGUGGUGAAAUGCGUAGAUAUCGGGAGGAACUCCAGUGGCGAAGGCGACUACCUGGCCUGUUUCUUGACGCUGAGGCGCGAAAGCUAGGGGAGCAAACGGG